rnacentral:rRNA from 1 species
CACUAUCGUUAACUGAAUACAUAGGUUAACGAGGCGAACCGGGGGAACUGAAACAUCUAAGUACCCCGAGGAAAAGAAAUCAACCGAGAUUCCCCCAGUAGCGGCGAGCGAACGGGGAGCAGCCCAGAGUCUGAAUCAGCUUGUGUGUUAGUGGAACGGUCUGGAAAGUCCGACGGUACAGGGUGAUAGUCCCGUACACCAAAAUGCACAGGCUGUGAACUCGAAGAGUAGGGCGGGACACGUGGUAUCCUGUCUGAAUAUGGGGGGACCAUCCUCCAAGGCUAAAUACUCCUGACUGACCGAUAGUGAACCAGUACCGUGAGGGAAAGGCGAAAAGAACCCCGGCGAGGGGAGUGAAAAAGAACCUGAAACCGUGUACGUACAAGCAGUGGGAGCACCUUCGGGUGUGACUGCGUACCUUUUGUAUAAUGGGUCAGCGACUUAUAUUCUGUAGCAAGGUUAACCGUAUAGGGGAGCCGCAGGGAAACCGAGUCUUAACUGGGCGUUAAGUUGCAGGGUAUAGACCCGAAACCCGGUGAUCUAGCCAUGGGCAGGUUGAAGGUUGGGUAACACUAACUGGAGGACCGAACCGACUAAUGUUGAAAAAUUAGCGGAUGACUUGUGGCUGGGGGUGAAAGGCCAAUCAAACCGGGAGAUAGCUGGUUCUCCCCGAAAGCUAUUUAGGUAGCGCCUCGUGAACUCAUCUUCGGGGGUAGAGCACUGUUUCGGCUAGGGGGUCAUCCCGACUUACCAACCCGAUGCAAACUACGAAUACCGAAGAAUGUUAUCACGGGAGACACACGGCGGGUGCUAACGUCCGUCGUGAAGAGGGAAACAACCCAGACCGCCAGCUAAGGUCCCAAAGUCAUGGUUAAGUGGGAAACGAUGUGGGAAGGCACAGACAGCCAGGAUGUUGGCUUAGAAGCAGCCAUCAUUUAAAGAAAGCGUAAUAGCUCACUGGUCGAGUCGGCCUGCGCGGAAGAUGUAACGGGGCUAAACCAUGCACCGAAGCUGCGGCAGCGACACUAUGUGUUGUUGGGUAGGGGAGCGUUCUGUAAGCCUGCGAAGGUGACCUGUGAGGGUUGCUGGAGGUAUCAGAAGUGCGAAUGCUGACAUAAGUAACGAUAAAGCGGGUGAAAAGCCCGCUCGCCGGAAGACCAAGGGUUCCUGUCCAACGUUAAUCGGGGCAGGGUGAGUCGACCCCUAAGGCGAGGCCGAAAGGCGUAGUCGAUGGGAAACAGGUUAAUAUUCCUGUACUUGGUGUUACUGCGAAGGGGGGACGGAGAAGGCUAUGUUAGCCGGGCGACGGUUGUCCCGGUUUAAGCAUGUAGGCUGAUUGUCCAGGCAAAUCCGGAUAAUCAAGGCUGAGGUGUGAUGACGAGGCACUACGGUGCUGAAGUAACAAAUGCCCUGCUUCCAGGAAAAGCCUCUAAGCAUCAGGUAACAUCAAAUCGUACCCCAAACCGACACAGGUGGUCAGGUAGAGAAUACCAAGGCGCUUGAGAGAACUCGGGUGAAGGAACUAGGCAAAAUGGUGCCGUAACUUCGGGAGAAGGCACGCUGGUGUGUAGGUGAAGCCCCUGCGGGUGGAGCUGAGACCAGUCGAAGAUACCAGCUGGCUGCAACUGUUUAUUAAAAACACAGCACUGUGCAAACACGAAAGUGGACGUAUACGGUGUGACGCCUGCCCGGUGCCGGAAGGUUAAUUGAUGGGGUUAUCCGUAAGGAGAAGCUCUUGAUCGAAGCCCCGGUAAACGGCGGCCGUAACUAUAACGGUCCUAAGGUAGCGAAAUUCCUUGUCGGGUAAGUUCCGACCUGCACGAAUGGCGUAAUGAUGGCCAGGCUGUCUCCACCCGAGACUCAGUGAAAUUGAACUCGCUGUGAAGAUGCAGUGUACCCGCGGCAAGACGGAAAGACCCCGUGAACCUUUACUAUAGCUUGACACUGAACAUUGAGCCUUGAUGUGUAGGAUAGGUGGGAGGCUUUGAAGCGUGGACGCCAGUCUGCGUGGAGCCAACCUUGAAAUACCACCCUUUAAUGUUUGAUGUUCUAACGUUGGCCCCUGACCGGGGUUGCGGACAGUGUCUGGUGGGUAGUUUGACUGGGGCGGUCUCCUCCCAAAGCGUAACGGAGGAGCACGAAGGUUAGCUAAUCCUGGUCGGACAUCAGGAGGUUAGUGCAAUGGCAUAAGCUAGCUUGACUGCGAGCGUGACGGCGCGAGCAGGUGCGAAAGCAGGUCAUAGUGAUCCGGUGGUUCUGAAUGGAAGGGCCAUCGCUCAACGGAUAAAAGGUACUCCGGGGAUAACAGGCUGAUACCGCCCAAGAGUUCAUAUCGACGGCGGUGUUUGGCACCUCGAUGUCGGCUCAUCACAUCCUGGGGCUGAAGUAGGUCCCAAGGGUAUGGCUGUUCGCCAUUUAAAGUGGUACGCGAGCUGGGUUUAGAACGUCGUGAGACAGUUCGGUCCCUAUCUGCCGUGGGCGCUGGAGAAUUGAGGGGGGCUGCUCCUAGUACGAGAGGACCGGAGUGGACGCAUCACUGGUGUUCGGGUUGUCAUGCCAAUGGCACUGCCCGGUAGCUAAAUGCGGAAGAGAUAAGUGCUGAAAGCAUCUAAGCACGAAACUUGCCCCGAGAUGAGUUCUCCCUGAGACUUUAAGUCUCCUGAAGGAACGUUAAAGACGAUGACGUUGAUAGGCCGGGUGUGUAAGCGCAGCGAUGCGUUGAGCUAACCGGUACUAAUGAACCGUGAGGCUUAACCUU